GAAAUGCGAUAAGUAAUGUGAAUUGCAGAAUUCCGUGAAUCAUCGAAUCUUUGAACGCACAUUUCGCCCUCUGGUAUUCCGGGGGGCAUGCCUGUCCGAGCGUCAUUGCGAACCCCUCAAGCACGGCUUGUGUGAUGGGCCCUCCCGCGUCUUGGUCGUCAAGACGGGCCCGAAAUGCAGUGGCGGCUUCGCGGUUAUCCGAUCAGCCAGAGCGUAUGGGGACUUUCUCUCUGUCACACGCCCGCGGCGCGGACCGACGCCUGUCGACCUUCAUUCAUCGUUUUCUCGGUUGACCUCGGAUCAGGUAGGGAUACCCGCUGAACUUAAGC
rnacentral:misc_RNA from 1 species